rnacentral:rRNA from 1 species
GACGAACGCGGCGGCGUGCCUAAUACAUGCAAGUAGAACGCUGAAGGGAGAGCUUGCUCUUCUGGAUGAGUUGCGAACGGGUGAGUAACGCGUAGGUAACCUGCCUGGUAGCGGGGGAUAACUAUUGGAAACGAUAGCUAAUACCGCAUAACAUUGACUAUUGCAUGAUAGUCAAUUGAAAGGUGCAAAUGCACCACUACCAGAUGGACCUGCGUUGUAUUAGCUAGUUGGUGGGGUAACGGCUCACCAAGGCGACGAUACAUAGCCGACCUGAGAGGGUGAUCGGCCACACUGGGACUGAGACACGGCCCAGACUCCUACGGGAGGCAGCAGUAGGGAAUCUUCGGCAAUGGACGGAAGUCUGACCGAGCAACGCCGCGUGAGUGAAGAAGGUUUUCGGAUCGUAAAGCUCUGUUGUAAGAGAAGAACGAGUGUGAGAGUGGAAAGUUCACACUGUGACG